rnacentral:rRNA from 1 species
UACGUAGGGUGCGAGCGUUGUCCGGAUUUAUUGGGCGUAAAGAGCUCGUAGGCGGCUUGUCGCGUCGACUGUGAAAACCCGCGGCUUAACUGCGGGACUGCAGUCGAUACGGGCAGGCUAGAGUUCGGUAGGGGAGACUGGAAUUCCUGGUGUAGCGGUGAAAUGCGCAGAUAUCAGGAGGAACACCGGUGGCGAAGGCGGGUCUCUGGGCCGACACUGACGCUGAGGAGCGAAAGCGUGGGGAGCGAACAGG